GACGAACGCUGGCGGCGUGCCUAAUACAUGCAAGUAGAACGCACAGUUUAUGCCGUAGCUUGCUACACCAUAGACUGUGAGUUGCGAACGACUGGGUAACGCUUCGGUAACCUGACUGGUAGCGGGGGAUAACUAUUGGAAACGAUAGCUAAUACCGCAUAAUAUUGAUUAUUGCAUGAUAAUUAAUGGAAAUGUGCAAUUGCACCACUACCAGAUGGACCUUCGUUGUGUUAGCUAGUAGGCGAGGUAACGGCGCACCUAGGCGACGAUACAUAGCCGACCUGAGAGGGUGAGCGGCCACACUGGGACUGAGACACGGCCCAGACGCCUACGGGAGGCAGCAGUAGGGAAUCGUCGGCAAUGGACGAAAGUCUGACCGAGCAACGCCGCGUGAGUGAAGAAGGUUUUCGGAUCGUAAAGCUCUGUUGUUAGAGAAGAACGGGGGUGAGAGUGGAAAGAUCACACAGUGACGGUAACUGACCAGAAAGGGACGGCUAACUACGUG
rnacentral:rRNA from 1 species